GAGAACUAUCAAAAGUGAUGAGAACAAAACUCUUUCCUUUUCAGCAAAACCUUUUCCUUCCUAUUGCCGCCUGAGUGCUCAUACAACCUACCAGAUUACCGUCGCCGGUCAGAGCUCUAUAGCCGCCACUUUAAAGUCUCAUUCACAGUGUUAAAGGUACCUGAAUCAAUUAUCCAUGGACUUUGAUUACCCAAUUGAGUGAUACAUGCGAUGGGCUUCCGAGCACUAGAGAUGAUGGAGGAUUGAGAUUGCUUGGCUGCUUUUAGCUUAAGAUACUCUUGAUAAUCUGCUUCUGAAAAUAUUAUCUCUGAUUUUUCAAUCUUAGAGAUAUUAACAGAUUUGGUUGGAACUCAUUAAGGGAACAACAAGUAUUUUGAGUAUCACCAAUUCUUUUGCAAUAGGAGCUUUGAGGUCGUCUGUUUCCUCAACUAUGUUGAUUGUAAAUCAUUUUACCGCGUUAGGACAAUGACCAAAUGACCUAUAAACAAUUAUAAUAAAUGUACCAACAUGCACUGAAGGAGGCCGAGCAUUAUACGGAUGACGGCGCCAUACAGAAGGAGACCGAGAACUGCGAAUGACAAAAAACUGCUGCUAGAUUGUCAGAGACAACAAAGACUUAUCGUGACAAUAGUGCGCAUUCAGAAAAGUUGGAGUGGGAUUGAACCCGUUUUGAUACCAAGUUGAGGAGAACAGUUUAGGAGAUUUUGAUUGAGGAAAAUGAGAAAUGCUCGAGCUAUUUGCAUCCAUCAUUUUCUCUAUCUAUAUACUCUUUAUGAUAAAUAAAAUUUGCAUUUACAAGAAAAUUAAUGA